UGGUGAAAUACAAAUCGGACUAGGAUAUAGCUGGUUUUCUGCGAAAAUUGUUUUGGCAAAUUGUUUAUUCCUCUUAAAAAUAGUAGGUAUAGCACUGAAUAUCUCGAGGGAGUAUGAAAAUAUUUAUCUCAGAUAUUUAAUCUCAAAAUAACUAUUUCUUAAAAUAAAUAAUCAGACUAUGUGCGAUAAGGUAGAUAGUCGAAAGGGAAACAGCCCAGAACAGUAAUUAAAGCUCCCCAAUUAAUAUUAAGUGAAAUA
rnacentral:rRNA from 1 species